AGGACGAACGCUGGCGGCGUGCUUAACACAUGCAAGUCGAGCGGUGAUCCCCCUUCGGGGGGUGAUCAGCGGCGAACGGGUGAGUAACACGUGGGCAACCUGCCCCUCACACUGGGAUAACCUCGGGAAACCGGGGCUAAUACCGGAUACGACCUCGAGCGGCAUCUCUUGAGGUGGAAAGCUCCGACGGUGAGGGAUGGGCCCGCGGCCUAUCAGCUUGUUGGUGGGUAAUGGCCUACCAAGGCGACGACGGGUA
rnacentral:rRNA from 1 species